AGCAUAGCAACAGCAGCGUAGCUGAACAUCUUACGGAUGGCCCAGGGCUCCAAAGGCUCGUUUCCUAAGUGAGAGAGAGCCUGGCUGAAGCUGUAUUACCAUUCAUUCUCCAGCCUCCGAAGUCUCAAAGCAUCACUUCCACCAUACUCUAACUGUCAAGACAAACACAAAGGCCCAGAGAAGGGGUCUCACUAUGUUGUCUGGAGUGCUGUGGUGGAGUGGAGUGGCUAUUCACAGAGCCUGUUCUGCUGGGACACAGAAUCACUUGCUCCAUCUCAUACAUUGAUGAUGAUUAAUUUGUAUGUGUACCUUCCAAAAAAGAUGGUUGUGUUUGAAUGGAGGCCUUCUGGACAGGAAAAUAUGGAGAGUGCGUGCUUUGGAUUCAAGACUGGGAAUGAGGGGACCAGAAACCUAUUCUGUGGCUGUUUCUUGUUAGGACUUUCCUAAGCCUCUGGAAAAGUGCAAAGUACAAUUAACAUUUGAGUCUGUCUGAGUCAUGAAGAAAUGGAGAUUACUGAAAAUAAUUCAUUUUGGUAUCUUCUUACAUCCUGAGAGACUAAUCUUUCCAAGUUCAUCUGAGGCUCCUCUUCUCCAUGACAACCUCAUCCAGGGAUUUCUUCCUGUCCUGGUGUUUUAUGACAUAAUCACAUCCUUCCUGAGAUAAUGAGCACACAAUUGCCUGGAUACCUGAAGGAAUGGAGACAGCGGCAGAAAACACUGCAGAGAGGUGGAAACAUCCGUUAAUAUUUUAAAAUCCCAUUACUGCUACCAACAAUAAUAAUGGAUGCAUAGAAAUAGAUCUGGAUUAGCUGAGCUUGAAACAGUCCAUCUCACACACACACAAAAGAAUUUCAGAUACAGUGAACCCACAUGUUGAAGCUUUCUAGUAUAAUAAAAAUUUCAACUGUUCUGUUGAAUCAUCUGCCUGAUUGGAGGCUACAGAAAAGAUGUCAUCUUAGGAGUGCUUGCUCUGAGUGAGGCUCAUCUUCAAAUCUGAAUGACCACAAGGAGAUUUGAUUAUACAUGUGAACACCUCAGAAGGCACAGCCCACCCAGAAGGCAGACAGGUCAGGCUGCUUUUUCUUCAUUGCUUGGAUUCAAUCCUCCGGGCGGCUCAGGCUCAAACAUAACUUAAGCAUGAUUAAACUUUAGAAGAAGCUGCCAGGAAGACUGUGAAAUCUUCAUGCCCAAGGAUCCCUAAAAUUAGGAGCAACAACCACUUGGCUCAGACGGUUUAUGGAGGCAAAGGUUUGGAUGGGAUUAGAGAUUUCUAAAUGUGAGUUCGUGUCCUCUGCCAGACCACCUUACUUCCACCAUUCCUCAGCAAAUCAAGAAAAACAGGAGAAAAGACAUGCCUUUCCAUAAGUUAAAUCUAUUCUGUUUUAAUUCUAUAUUAUAUCUGCUGUACAACUUCUUUUGUUUGUAACACCAUAUUGUUGCUAGUAACUGGAAAUUAAUUUUCACAUGCCUCAGCUUAGAAAAAUAAAAAGCAGCCCUGCAUCAAUCCCAA
rnacentral:lncRNA from 1 species